rnacentral:rRNA from 1 species
UAGGGAAUCUUCCACAAUGGACGCAAGUCUGAUGGAGCAACGCCGCGUGAGUGAAGAAGAUCUUCGGAUCGUAAAACUCUGUUGUUAGAGAAGAACACGAGUGAGAGUAACUGUUCAUUCGAUGACGGUAUCUAACCAGCAAGUCACGGCUAACUACGUGCCAGCAG